GAUGAACGCUAGCGGCAGGCUUAAUACAUGCAAGUCGUGGGGCAGCAGGGGUAGCAAUACUCGCUGGCGACCGGCAAACGGGUGCGGAACACGUACACAACCUUCCUUAAAGUGGGGAAU
rnacentral:rRNA from 1 species